rnacentral:lncRNA from 1 species
UAAUGAUGUCUAAUAGGGCAUUUAUCAUUUUAUAUUGGAAUUAUUUAUAUGACUGCAUUCCUCAAAAAACCAGUUACUGAGAGCUUAAACUUUGUAUCUGACUCAAGGCUUGGAACACAGGAGAUAGUAAAUGUCGAGUUUUUCUCUGCCCUUUAAGGAUGUGGUCAUCCUUAGGUUUUGAUCUGCCUUUGCUGUGAGAUGACUAGCACCUUUUAUACUUAUCCAGAGACUUGGAGGAGGCCUUGGAGAUGGGGGUGGACUGGUCCUUAAGAGAAGGGUAUGCCUGGGCUGAAGACAAGGAGCACUGCGAGGAGUACGGAAGGAUGCUGCAGGCUGACCCCAAUAAAGUUUCUGCAAGGGCGAAGAAAAGAGGCCUUCCUCAGUUGGGGACCCUGGGAGCAGGCAACCAUUAUGCAGAAAUCCAGGUUGUGGAUGAGAUUUUCAAUGAGUAUGCUGCUAAAAAAAUGGGCAUCGACCAUAAGGGACAGGUGUGUGUGAUGAUCCACAGUGGAAGCAGAGGCUUGGGCCACCAAGUA